rnacentral:rRNA from 1 species
UACGUAGGGUGCAAGCGUUGUCCGGAAUUAUUGGGCGUAAAGAGCUCGUAGGCGGCUUGUCGCGUCGACUGUGAAAUCCCGCGGCUCAACUGCGGGUCUGCAGUCGAUACGGGCAGGCUAGAGUUCGGUAGGGGAGAUUGGAAUUCCUGGUGUAGCGGUGGAAUGCGCAGAUAUCAGGAGGAACACCGGUGGCGAAGGCAGGUCUCUGGGCCACAACUGACGCUGAGGAGCGAAAGCAUGGGGAGCGAACAGG